GACGUAGGAGGCGAGCGUUGUCCGGAUUCAUUGGGCGUAAAGAGCACGCAGGCGGUUUGGCAAGUCGGAUGUGAAAACCCGAAGCUCAACUUCGGGCCUGCAGUCGAUACGGGCAAACUAGAGUACUGCAGGGGAGACUGGAAUUCCUGGUGUAGCGGUGAAAUGCGCAGAUAUCAGGAGGAACACCGGUGGCGAAGGCGGGUCUCUGGGCAGUAACUGACGCUGAGGAGCGAAAGCGUGGGGAGCGAACAGG
rnacentral:rRNA from 1 species